rnacentral:lncRNA from 1 species
UGCCUUCAAAAAAAUGCAUACAAAUACUUGUUUUUAUUCGUUACCAUAACAAUAAACAAAAUCUCGAAGUUAUCAAGCAAAAAAAAUUCACAGCCCGUAGAACCAUUUGGAAGAUCUGUCGGAUAUAUUUGAGCAAAAUCUGGAAGUUAUCAAGCAAAAAAUGGUUGAACGUCGUGUGCCGCCUCCUCCUCCAGAUUCAGACGGCGAUCAGUAGCUUCGCCACCACCACAGCUCACGCCAGUCCACCACCGUCUGCACCUGCAACUGUUGCGCCGUUCAAACGCCACCCUGCGCGUCGUCAUCGCGCCUACGCGAUUCAGAACCACCGCACCAGCCUUCCUCCACCUACGCCGACCGCCAGAACGUCGCCUCUUCGUUUGAAGAUUUUUUUUUUUUUGAGGAUCUCUUCGUUUGAAGAUUUAAUUGGAGUGAGAAUCGGAACCAAAUGAGUGUAGAUAUGGAAGGAGGGAUCAAAUUUGAUUUGUUUCGUGUGUAGAUAUGGAAGGUGUACAACAUAUGCCAAUAAUACCCCACGUAAAAAAUAUGUAUGAAUAUUUUCUAUUACUUAAUGAACUAUUUAACCCAUAAAAUAUGGGAUGACAGCCGUUGAUUUCAUUUGAUCGACGGUCAUAUAUUAGUCUU